AUAGAAACGAAUAGAAAUAUCGUAUACUGCAAAUGUAGGAUAGAGAGGAGGAUGCUCGACAUUCAAAUAAUGGAGAGUACUAUUAUUUUUGUUUGUUUUGUGUUUGGUACACCCCCCAAAUUUAAGAGGAAGAGGAAUAGAAAUACAAAUCCUCUCAUCCAAUUCAAAUUGGGCCUGAAUAUCUCACAUAUACAUCAAACCAGUGAGGGAAAUUGAACUGACAAGACGUCAUUGGUU
rnacentral:ribozyme from 1 species